rnacentral:rRNA from 1 species
AGCAGCCGCGGUAAUUCCAGCUCCAAUAGCGUAUAUUAAAGUUGUUGCAGUUAAAAAGCUCGUAGUUGAAUUUCGGGGUUAGUAGGUUGGUCAUGCCUCUGGUAUGUACUGGUCUCACUGAUUCCUCCUUCCUGAUGAGCCGUAAUGCCAUUAAUUUGGUGUUGCGGGGAAUUUGGACUGUUACUUUGAAAAAUUAGAGUGUUUAAAGCAAGCUAACGCUUGAAUACAUUAGCAUGGAAUAAUGAAAUAGGACGUUCGAUCCUAUUUUGUUGGUUUCUAGGAUUGACGUAAUGAUUAAUAGGGAUAGUUGGGGGCAUUAGUACUCAAUUGUCAGAGGUGAAAUUCUUGGAUUUAUUGAAGACUAACUACUGCGAAAGCAUUUGCCAAGGAUGUUUUCAUUAAUCAAGAACGAAAGUUAGGGGAUCGAAGACGAUCAGAUACCGUCGUAGUCUUAACCAUAAACUAUGCCGA